ensembl:snoRNA U3 Small nucleolar RNA U3
AAGACUGUACUUUCAGGGACAAUUUCUGUAGUUUGUUACUAGAGAAGUUUCUCUGAAUGUGUAAAGCACCAGAUAAAUAUUUGCCAAAUAUU